rnacentral:rRNA from 1 species
UACGGAGAGGGCUAGCGUUGUUCGGCAUUACUGGGCGUAAAGCGCACGUAGGCGGGACGGCAAGUCAGGGGUGAAAUCCCGGGGCUCAACCCCGGAACUGCCUUUGAAACUUGCGUUCUUGAGGUCGAGAGAGGUGGGUGGAAUUCCGAGUGUAGAGGUGAAAUUCGUAGAUGUUCGGAGGAACACCGGUGGCGAAGGCGGCCCACUGGCUCGAUACUGACGCUGAGGUGCGAAAGCGCGGGGAGCAAACAGG